UCUCUCUUUCUCCCUCAUUUCUUCACUCUCUCGACCGACACCCUAAGCGGGAGAAGGAGGCGGCGCCUCCUCGUCGCCCGUCGCUAGGAGCUCCGGUCGGCGCUUCUCUUGCGUCGCCGGAGAUUUUGAUGCCCCUCCCUCACAACCCUCGGUCUCAAACUCAUCUUAGAAAAAAAUCCCCAAUUUCAAAACCCUAGCCUCAUCUCAAAAACUCUCGCUUCGUCUCCACCGCCUUCCGAAUCCGACGUCGACGCCGGCCGUGAACUCAGCGAGGCGGAGCUGUCGUCGCGGCUCCGUGAGGCGCUCUCAAUUUGAGUCGCGGCGGAGCCCUCGGCAUCUCCGUCGCGCCCUCCCGUUCCAUCGUCGUUUCAUCUUUCACCGGCGGGGUCGCCGACAGGAAAGAGGCGUCGCCUCUCUUCCUCCCUGCUUCCGGCGUUCUCCUGGCCUUUUUCCGACGAAUCCUCCAUCACCGCCAUCGCGGAUCGCCGCUGUUGCCUCUCAUCCUUUCACGGCAUCUAAGCGCCGUCACUGCCAUCUACGGCUGAAGCUGACGCCGUUCGGCUUGCUGUGUAGACCAGCGCCGCCGCCACCGGUCGGCCUUGAAGCUAAGUUCUUCUCCCCCCCCUUUUUUUUUGUCUAAGCUUGGUCUAUCUAGUUUGAGUUUGGGCAGCAGCUAUGAUAAAUUGUUGUUGAUUUUCUCUUCGGAUAGAGCUCAUUUAAUUGUUGGGCUGGGUUCAUGAACUACUAUGUGUGAAAGCUGUAGGGAGAUAGUUAUGAUUUGCUAUUAUUCUUGGUCUAUGAAACAGACUAUGGUUUGCUUGCACUAUUUGUUAUGAAGCUGAACUUAAUGUGGUUAUACUUGUGCCCCUAAGUCCUUAUAUUAUGUGGUGUUUGAUCUAAACGUGAUGCAAGAUAAGGUGUUGGGGUGUGGAGGUGAUUACCUCUUGAUGUAGUGAGGCUGCCCUUGUUGCUGCUUGAGAUUGGCUCCUAAGGCACCAAGCUUUCUACUCUCUCUAAACUUUGCUGAUUAUUAUGAGAAGUGUGGGAGGGAGUUCGAAUGUGGUGUGGGGAGGAUUUUUAUAGGCUGAUUGUGAACUUGUAAGCCUUAAAUGAGGCUGCUGAAACUCUUGUCUCUAUCCAGCAGCAUAUCCCCCCCCUCCUUGAUCUUUUGCAGCAAACUUUAACUGACAUUUUGAUGGUAUACUAAGGUAUAUUGCUGCCACAAUCCUUUUUGUUGAUUCUCCACCACCCUUUUUAUUUAAUUUAGCUUGGUGUUGUGUCUAGCAUAAGUACUCUUGCAUUAAUACACUUUGUUUGACCUCCUUGCAGGUACAGCGAGAGGAAUGCAGGGCUGUUGGGAGCAGGGGAGUUCAGGCUGACUUUGCUUCCUUUGGCAAGUCUUUUGGUCUACUCUAACAAAGGAGAAAGAGACACUUGGCUGCCACCCAACUGUCCCGGGAGGUAGGCUCGCUGCCUUGGCUCACCGGCUGACCGGGUGGGGUCGCGGUGAUGUGCGGCUUGGGCUCGGAAAAGAAGAGGCCCAACGUGUAGUAAAAGAGUCGGCCUUAGCUCUUAGCCUUUUAGCCCAUACUUGUAAAAUUGUGUACUAGCAUUCCCAUUUCCUUUUUCUUAAAUUCUUACUUCCCAUGUGUUUCACUAUGUAAGCUAGAGUGUGUUUGAUAGUAGUUGCAUUUUCUUAGCUAGAAAACGAACUCUUCAUCUUUUUUUUUCUCGUUAGUUAUGGCUCGUAAAUAGUAAUGGAGUAGUUUUAGUUCA